GGGGGCGACCUGGCUUCGACGCGGGUUGCGAAACCUGAAGUGCAUGCCGAGAAUGAGAUCUCUCGUAAAUCAGACUCAAUAAACAUAAAUGCAAACGAUGAAAACUUUGCAGGUGAAGCUAUCGCUGCGUAAGCUUUGAUAGUGUAACCGCACCGUGCGCUGCCAUAAAACCAGCGCCCCGUUGACCGAGCUUGCUUGCCGGUAUCGACUCAACGGUCAUAGAAGACAAGCUAGUGUUUCGGUCCAUCCCGUACCGGAAUGCGAAAUUCAGGGAAUCGCUGCCGACCAUCCUGCCUGUCGGAGGGGAAGCAGUUAAAUCAAUAGACAUGGCUAAGCAUGUAGAGCUGAAGGCAGAGGAUUUGCGGACGCGGGUUCAAUUCCCGCCGCCUCCACCA
rfam:Legionella spiritensis strain Mt.St.Helens-9 Lspi_ctg030, whole genome shotgun sequence.